GCCUCCAUGGCCUAAUGGAUAAGGCAUCGGUUUUCUAAACCGGGGAUUGUGGGUUCGAGUCCCACCGGAGGUA
rnacentral:tRNA from 1 species